AAAUUGAGGCAGUAGUGUGAAGAGGGUGGUGGCAUUAGGUUAAGUAUUAAAAAAAUUAAAACAAAUGUAAUACUUAACCUAAUGCCACCACCCCCUCACACCACUGCCUCUAUUUC